UGUCUCUGCAAGGCCUGCUGCCAGCCGUUAUGCAGCAACUGCAGGAUGAUGACUGCGACGUCAUGAAGGCCGCCCUGACUGUCCUCAGCAACAUCCUCUGCGUGGUAGACAGGCAGACGGCUGGCCCCAUUGCUCUGCAGCUGCUCAACAUGCUCCUGCCACUCUUUGAAAAUGCGAGCAGCUGCGUGCGAAAGCAGUCCAUCCUCCUCAGCAGAGAUGUGAUGAGGGUUUCAUUCAGGUCUCACAAAAGCAGAUGAGGAAGGAUGUGCACAGAAGCCUCCUGCCCUUGUUCUUCCACCUGCAUGACAGUGACUCAAGUGUGGCUCAGCCCAGGGAUCUCCAGGUCCUCUUUCCUGGGUAGAGGUGCCAUCUCCCUGUCUCUGCUGCUCUGAAGGCCUCCAAGGAAGCUGUCGUUGAAGCUGCCAAGUUCCUGAGGUGGCAGCAGCUCCAGAAGCUGUUGCAGACAGAGCAGAUAUGGGGGGCUGCCAAGUGCAUGCUGAAGAGAGCAGAAGGAGGUUGGAGGAGUACCUGCAUCAGAGCCUGCUGUAUCAGCAGAGCCCACAGGAGCCCUUGCGCGAGGCGGC